UACGUAGGGGGCAAGCGUUGUCCGGAUUUAUUGGGCGUAAAGAGCGUGUAGGCGGCCAGGUAGGUCUGCUGUGAAAACUCGAGGCUCAACCUCGAGACGUCGGUUGAAACCGUAUGGCUAGAGUCCGGAAGAGGAGAGUGGAAUUCCCGGUGUAGCGGUGAAUGCGCAGAUAUCGGGAAGAACACCCGUGGCGAAGGCGGCUCUCGUGGGACGGUACUGACGCUGAGACGCGAAAGCGUGGGGAGCGAACAGG
rnacentral:rRNA from 1 species